rnacentral:rRNA from 1 species
GGAUCCAGACUUUGAUUAUGCUCAGGAUGAACGCUAGCGGCAGGCUUAACACAUGCAAGUCGAGGGGCAGCGCGGGGCAGCAAUGUUCUGGCGGCGACCGGCGGAAGGGUGCGUAACGCGUGAGCGACAUGCCCGUUGCCCGGGGACAACCGGUGGAAACGCCGACUAAUCCCCGAUGGGACGGAGGCCCUCAUGGGUCUCCGUUGAAAGUUACGGCGGCGACGGAUUGGCUCGCGUCCGAUUAGCUUGUUGGCGGGGUAACGGCCCACCAAGGCUACGAUCGGUAGGGGUUCUGAGAGGAAGGUCCCCCACAAUGGAACUGAGACACGGUCCAUACUCCUACGGGAGGCAGCAGUGAGGAAUAUUGGUCAAUGGGCGGAAGCCUGAACCAGCCAUGCCGCGUGCGGGAAGGAGGCCCUAUGGGCUGUGAACCGCUUUUGCCUGGGGGCAAUAAGGGCGUCGUGCACGUCCGAUGAGAGUACCAGGCGAAUAAGCAUCGGCUAACUCCGUGCCAGCAGCCGCGGUAAUACGGGGGAUGCGAGCGUUAUCCGGAUUCAUUGGGUUUAAAGGGUGCGUAGGCUGUGCGUCAAGUCAGGGGUGAAAUUCCGGGGCUCAACUCCGGGGCUGCCCUUGAUACUGUCGCGCUGGAGUGCGGAUGCCGCCGGAGGAAUGAGUGGUGUAGCGGUGAAAUGCUUAGAUAUCACUCAGAACACCGAUUGCGAAGGCAUCUGGCGAAUCCGUAACUGACGCUGAGGCACGAAAGCGUGGGGAUAGAACAGGAUUAGAUACCCUGGUAUUCCACGCCGUAAACGAUGAUGGCUAACCGCCGGCGACACACUGUCGGU